rnacentral:rRNA from 1 species
AAAUACUACCCAGUGACCGAUAGCGUAUAGUACUGUGAAGGAAAGGUGAAAAGCACCCCGGGAGGGGAGUGAAAAAGAACCUGAAACCCUGUGCCUACAAGCACCUAGAGCACGUCAAUGUGUGAUAGGGUACUUUUUGUAGAACGGUCCGGCGAGCGAUUGUAUGCAGCAAGGUUAAGGACUUAAGGUCUGGAGCCGAAGCGAAAGCGAGUUUGAAAAGGGCGUUAAGUUGCAUACAAUGGGCCCGAAACCGGGUGACCUACCCAUGGUCAGGUUGAAGUGGAAGUAAAAUUCCAUGGAGGACCGAACCGACCUCCGUUGAAAAGGCGGCGGAUGAACUGUGGGUAGCGGAGAAAUUCCAAUCGAACCCGGAGAUAGCUGGUUCUCCCCGAAAUAGUUUUAGGACUAGCCUCAAGUUAGAUACCUGGAGGUAAAGCACUGAAUAGCCUAGCGGCCGAGAGGUUAGCGAAGCUUAUCAAACUCAGAAUGCCAGAGUAUUGAUGCUUGGGAGUCAGACAGUGUCAGAUAAAUGUCAUUGUCAAAAGGGAAACAGCCCAGAUCUACAGCUAAGGUCCCAAAGUCAGGUUAAGUGGAAAACGAUGUGAAGAUACGUAGACAACCAGGAUGUUGGCUCAGAAGCAGCCACACAUUCAAAGAGUGCGUAAUAGCUCACUGGUCGAGCGUCUUUGCGCGGAGAAUUUAACGGGGCUAAACCUGACACCGAAGCUUAGGCAAUACAGCAAUGUAUUGGGUAGGGGAGCGUUGUAUACGCGGUGAAACAGUAGCGCAAGCGGCUGUGGAGUGUAUAGAAGUGAGAAUGCCGGAAUGAGUAGCGCGAAUGCAGUGAGAAUCUGCAUGGCCGAAAGCCUCAGGUUUCUGGAGGAAGGUUCGUCCGCUCCAGGUUAGUCGGGAGCUAAGGUGAGGCCUAACGGCGUAGCCGAUGCACAGACGGUAGAGAUUCCGUCACCACCAAAAGAGUUAAACACAGGGACACAUUUGAAGUCUCGGAGCCGGGUGUUGGUUCCGGUAGCGAUCGAGGGAAGUUAGUACCGAAGUCCGGGAUGGAAGAUGGCGAGAAAAGCUGUGUGUAUUUCUGCGGUGCCCGUACCGCAAACCGACACAGGUAGGUAGGAAGAAGAUUCUAAGGCCAACGGGAGAAGGGUUGUUAAGGAACUCGGCAAAUUGACCCCGUAACUUCGGGAGAAGGGGUGCUCCAGAGAUGGAGCCGCAGAGAAUCGGCCCAAGCAACUGUUUACCAAAAACACAGGUUUGUGCUAAAUCGAAAGAUGACGUAUACGAGCUGACGCCUGCCCGGUGCUGGAAGGUUAAGAGGAGAUGUGCAAGCAUUGAAUCGAAGCCCCAGUGAACGGCGGCCGUAACUAUAACGGUCCUAAGGUAGCGAAAUUCCUUGUCAGGUAAGUUCUGACCCGCAUGAAAGGCGUAAUGAUUUGGGCACUGUCUCGACAGCCCGCCCGGCGAAAUUGUAGUACCGGUGAAGAUGCCGGUUACCCGCGACAAGACGGAAAGACCCCAUGGAGCUUUACUGUAGCCUAAUAUUGGGUUUCGAUGUUGCAUGCACAGGAUAGAUGGGACACUGGGAAGCAAGUGCUUUGGCAUUUGUGGAGUGGCCGUUGGGAUACCAUCCUUGCGAUAUUGGAAUUCUAACCUGCGCCUUUGAAUCAAGGCGGGGGACAUUGUUAGGUGGGCAGUUUGACUGGGGCGGUCGCCUCCUAAAGAGUAACGGAGGCGUUCAAAGGUUCGCUCAGCUUGAACGGAAAUCAAGCAAAAGAGUGCAAACGCAGAAGCGAGCCUAACUGCGAGACUGACGGGUCGAGCAGUAACGAAAGUUGGAGUUAGUGAUCCGGUGGUAUGUGAGUGGAAAUGCCAUCGCUCAACGGAUAAAA